CGCGUAGGCGGCUUGGCAAGUCAGAUGUGAAAUCCCCGAGCUUAACUUGGGAAUUGCCUCUGAUACUGCAGGACUUGAGACUAGGAGAGGGUGGUGGAAUUCCCAGUGUAGAGGUGAAAUUCGUAGAUAUUGGGAGGAACACCAGAGGCGAAGGCGGCCACCUGGACUAGAUCUGACGCUCAGGUGCGAAAGCGUGGGGAGCAAACA
rnacentral:rRNA from 1 species